UAGUCAUAUGCUUGUCUCAAAGAUUAAGCCAUGCAUGUCUAAGUAUAAGCUUGUUUAUACGGCGAGACUGCGGAUGGCUCAUUAAAUCAGUUAUAGUUUAUUUGAUGGUCUCUUUGUUCUUCUUUUUACCUACUUGGAUAACCGUGGUAAUUCUAGAGCUAAUACAUGCGCAAGGUCCCGAGCGCGGAGAGUGGGGCUUCACGGCUCUAUUCUUGCAUGCGCAGAGGGAUGUAUUUAUUAGGUUAAACAACCAGCAUUUUAACAAUCAUCUGGUGAUU
rnacentral:rRNA from 1 species